GAUGAACGCUAGCGGCAGGCCUAACACAUGCAAGUCGAGGGAGGAGCCUUCGGGCUUCGACCGGCGUACGGGUGCGUAACGCGUAUACAAUCUGCCUUUCACAUAGGGAUAGCCCGAAGAAAUUUGGAUUAAUACCUAAUGGUAUAUAGAUGUGGCAUCAACUUUAUAUUAAAGCUGAGGCGGUGAAAGAUGAGUAUGCGUUCUAUUAGCUAGUUGGAGAGGUAACGGCUCCCCAAGGCGACGAUAGAUAGGGGUUCUGAGAGGGAUAUCCCCCACACUGGUACUGAGAUACGGACCAGACUCCUACGGGAGGCAGCAGUGAGGAAUAUAGGACAAUGGUCGGAAGACUGAUCCAGCCAUGCAGCGGGCAGGAAGACGGCCUUAUGGGUUGUAAACUGCUUUUGCAGGGGAAGAAUAAGGACUACGCGUAGUUUGAUGACGGUACUCUGCGAAUAAGCAUCGGCUAACUCCGG
rnacentral:rRNA from 1 species